GAUGAACGCUGGCGGCGUGCUUAACACAUGCAAGUCGAACGGAAAGGCCCAAGCUUGCUUGGGUACUCGAGUGGCGAACGGGUGAGUAACACGUGGGUGAUCUGCCCUGCACUUCGGGAUAAGCCUGGGAAACUGGGUCUAAUACCGGAUAGGACCACAUUUUGGAUGGUGUGGUGGAAAGUUUUUCGGUGUGGGAUGAGCUCGCGGCCUAUCAGCUUGUUGGUGGGGUAAUGGCCUACAAAGGCGUCGACGGGUAGCCGGCCUGGGAGGGUGUACGGCCCCAUUGGGAUUGGGGUGCGGCCAGGACCCCUCCGGGAGGAAGGGGGGGGAAAUUGUCGAAGAGGGGCCCAGUCCUGGUGGAGGGACGCCGGGUGGGGAAAGUCGGCUUUCGGGUUAGAACCACUUUGCACGAGGGAAGAAGCGUUUUGUGGGGAUACCUGGAGAAGAACCCCCGUAAAACUGCG
rnacentral:rRNA from 1 species